CACUGAAUGAGAUUUUAACACGAAGUGAGUGGCGGACGGGUGAGUAACACGUGGGUAACCUGCCCAGAAGCAGGGGAUAACACCUGGAAACAGAUGCUAAUACCGUAUAACAGAGAAAACCGCCUGGUUUUCUUUUAAAAGAUGGCUCUGCUAUCACUUCUGGAUGGACCCGCGGCGCAUUAGCUAGUUGGUGAGGUAACGGCUCACCAAGGCGAUGAUGCGUAGCCGACCUGAGAGGGUAAUCGGCCACAUUGGGACUGAGACACGGCCCAGACUCCUACGGGAGGCAGCAGUAGGGAAUCUUCCACAAUGGACGCAAGUCUGAUGGAGCAACGCCGCGUGAGUGAAGAAGGGUUUCGGCUCGUAAAGCUCUGUUGUUAAAGAAGAACGUGGGUGAGAGUAACUGUUCACCCAGUGACGGUAUUUAACCAGAAAGCCACGGCUAACUACGUGCCAGCAGCCGCGGUAAUACGUAGGUGGCAAGCGUUAUCCGGAUUUAUUGGGCGUAAAGCGAGCGCA
rnacentral:rRNA from 1 species